rnacentral:tRNA from 1 species
ACUUUCAAAGGAUAGCAGUAAUCCAAUGGUCUUAGGAACCAACAACCUUGGUGCAAAUCCAAGUGAAAGUA